AUCGCGCAGCUUCUAGCCGGCUUAGAAGUCCGGGGUCCCUCCUUGCCGGGCCUCCCGUAAAAUCACUUCCCACUGUCCGCUCGACCUGAGCCGAAAGGCAGCUCAGAGGACGGAUCUCACAGGUGCGGGAGGCUGAUGGCCUAUACUGAGGAGUUUAGAAUCUAAACUUUAGAAGAGGAGCGGAUAAAUGGAGGAGGAAGAAGGAGGACCAUAGAGAGAAAUCUCAACUCCUUGGCCCUGUGUUCGUCACGUAUGGACGUGAGAGUUGCAUUAUAAAGAAAGCUGAGCGCUGAAGAAUCGAUGCUUCUGAACUGUGGUGUUGGAGAAGAUUCUUGAGAGUCCCUUGGACUGCAAGGAGAUCCAACCAGUCCAUCCUAAAGGAAAUCAGUCCUGAAUAUUCAUUGGACGGACUGAUACUGAAGCUGAAACUCCAAUAAAUACUUUGGCCACCUGAUGUGAAGAACUGACUCAUUGGAAAAGACUCUGAUGCUGGGAAAGAUUGAAGGCAGGAGGAAAAGGGGAUGACAGAGGAUGAGAUGGUUGGAUGGCAUCACUGACUCAAUGGACAUGAGUUUGAGUAAACUCCGGGAGUUGGUGAUGGACAGGGAGGCCUGGCGUGCUGCAGUCCAUGGGGUUGCAGAGUCGGACACGACUGAGUGACUGAACUGAAAUGCCCUGCGUUGGAAGGCCUUCAUGACGAAGUUCCUGCCAAGCUCACUGACCUCCUCUCACCACUUGGAUUGUGCAUCUGCCAAACACAACAUGUCAUAACCCCCAGUGAAACCCUCAUGCUUUCAUUUCUCCAGGUGCCAGGUCUUGGACUCUUCUCACUACCCAGAAUAACCUUUCCUGAUGGUUCCUGGCUGUUUCAUCAGGGCUUAAUUCCUCCAGAAAGCAACCUCUGACUCCUGCAUCGCUCCAGCUCCCAGGCUGACUGAGCCACUCCUUCAGGCUACUGGUUUUACAGGAAUGCUUGUAAAGCCCUUAUAUGACAGUUCCCUCUCUAGCUCCCAACUCGCCCCUGAUGCCUGCAACACAAACUCCAAGUUCUUCAGUCCAGUACCUGUGAUGUUUCAGCCAGCAUCAUCCCUGGCUGUGCACAUGAUGCUUGCAGCUGCUGCCGCACUUGUGAUAUGCUGUGCUUAGUCGCUCAGUCGUGUCUGACUCUUUGUGACCCCGUGGACUGUAGCCCACCAGAAACCUCUGUCCAUGGGGAUUCUCCAGGCAAGAAUACUGCUGUGGGUUGCCAUCCCCUCCUCCAGGGGAUCCUCCCAACCCAGGGAUCGAACCCAGGUCUCCUGCAUUUCAGGCAUAUUCUUUACUAUCUGAACCACCAAGAAAGCUCAAGAAUUCUGAUGUGGGUAGCUGUG